rnacentral:rRNA from 1 species
CAGCAGCCGCGGUAACACGGAGGGUGCAAGCGUUAAUCGGAAUUACUGGGCGUAAAGCGCACGCAGGCGGUUUGUUAAGUCAGAUGUGAAAUCCCCGAGCUUAACUUGGGAACUGCAUUUGAAACUGGCAAGCUAGAGUCUUGUAGAGGGGGGUAGAAUUCCAGGUGUAGCGGUGAAAUGCGUAGAGAUCUGGAGGAAUACCGGUGGCGAAGGCGGCCCCCUGGACAAAGACUGACGCUCAGGUGCGAAAGCGUGGGGAGCAAACAGGAUUAGAUACCCGCGUAGUCCCUGUCUCUUAUAA